UACGAAGGGGGCUAGCGUUGCUCGGAAUUACUGGGCGUAAAGCGCGCGUAGGCGGAUCGUUAAGUCGGGGGUGAAAUCCUGGAGCUCAACUCCAGAACUGCCUUUGAUACUGGCGAUCUUGAGUCCGGGAGAGGUGAGUGGAACUCCGAGUGUAGAGGUGAAAUGCGUAGAUAUCGGAAGGAACGCCGGUGGCGAAAGCGGCGCACUGGAUCCCUACUGACGCUGAGGCGCGAAAGCCAGGGGAGCAAACGGG
rnacentral:rRNA from 1 species